rnacentral:rRNA from 1 species
UACAGAGGGGGCAAGCGUUAAUCGGAAUUACUGGGCGUAAAGCGCACGCAGGCGGUCUGUCAAGUCGGAUGUGAAAUCCCCGGGCUCAACCUGGGAACUGCAUUCGAAACUGGCAGGCUAGAGUCUUGUAGAGGGGGGUAGAAUUCCAGGUGUAGCGGUGAAAUGCGUAGAGAUCUGGAGGAAUACCGGUGGCGAAGGCGGCCCCCUGGACAAAGACUGACGCUCAGGUGCGAAAGCGUGGGGAGCAAACAGG